UACGUAGGUGGCAAGCGUUAUCCGGAUUUACUGGGUGUAAAGGGCGUGUAGGCGGGACUGCAAGUCAGAUGUGAAAACCACGGGCUCAACCUGUGGCCUGCAUUUGAAACUGUAGUUCUUGAGUACUGGAGAGGCAGACGGAAUUCCUAGUGUAGCGGUGAAAUGCAUAGAUAUCACGCAGAACUCCGAUUGCGAAGGCAGCAUACCGGCGCCCUACUGACGCUGAGGCACGAAAGCGUGGGUAUCGAACAGG
rnacentral:rRNA from 1 species